UACGUAGGGGGCAAGCGUUGUCCGGAUUUAUUGGGCGUAAAGAGCGUGUAGGCGGCCUGAUAGGUCAGCUGUGAAAACUCGAGGCUCAACCCUGGAAAGCCGGUGGAAACUGUCGAGCUCGAGUCCGGAAGAGGCGAGUGGAAUUCCUGGUGUAGCGGUGAAAUGCGCAGAUAUCAGGAGGAACACCGGUGGCGAAGGCGGGUCUCUGGGCCGAUACUGACGCUGAGGAGCGAAAGCGUGGGGAGCGAACAGG
rnacentral:rRNA from 1 species